AGAGUUUGAUCCUGGCUCAGAACGAACGCUGGCGGCGUGCCUAACACAUGCAAGUCGAACGCGAAAGUCCUUCGGGAUGAGUAAAGUGGCGCACGGGUGAGUAACACGUAGGUGACCUGCCUUUUAGAGGGGAAUAACCAGAUGAAAAUUUGGCUAAUGCCGCAUACGAAAUACAAAAGUAAAAAUAGUAUUUGAAAGGAUGCCUCUGUAUAUGCAUCCACUAAAAGAUGGGCCUGCGGAACAUUAGCUAGUUGGUGGGGUAAAGGCCUACCAAGGCAACGAUGUUUAUCCGGUCUGAGAGGAUGAUCGGACACACUGGAACUGAGACACGGUCCAGACUCCUACGGGAGGCAGCAGUGGGGAAUAUUGCGCAAUGGGGGAAACCCUGACGCAGCAACGCCGCGUGAGUGAGGAAGGACUUCGGUCUGUAAAGCUCUGUUAAUGUGGAAAAAUGGUAGCUGGUCUAAUAGGCCGGCUAUUUGAUGGUACACAUAGAGGAAGCACCGGCUAACUUCGUGCCAGCAGCCGCGGUAAU
rnacentral:rRNA from 1 species